GUUGCCAUCAGGAUCUAAAGGAUCGCUGGGCACUCUUGGGGACCGCUGCCGACAAGGCUGAGGAAGUGGGGGCCACGGUAGGUCAGUAUGCCCCGAAUAUCCUGGGGCCACACGCGGGCUGCAAUGGUAGGGACAGAGGGCUGCAACAUCGAGAGAUGGAGCCAAUCCCUAAACCCUACCUCAGUUGGGAUCGAGGGCUGCAACCCGCCCUCGUGAACAUGGAAUGCCUAGUAACCGCGCGUCAUCAUCGCGCAGUGAAUACGUCCCUGCUCCUU
rnacentral:rRNA from 1 species